GUUCUGGCUGAACGUGCAAAGGCAGCACAAAAAUCAGAAAUAAAGGGGAGGAAAGACAUUUCUGAACUUCUUUUGAACUUUGAGAGGCUGGAUUUGACCCUGGAGUUAUCCAAACCAGUUCUCCAUUUUUCAGAGGAGCUGAGCCCUGACACUUCUACUGAAUUUUAAGAGAAAGAUGUUUCUUGUUGCUUCACCUGAACAGAGAGUCUAUGACAGAACUUCUGCAAGAAGGAAACGGGGGAUUGAUUGGAAGGAGGGGAGAUCUCCCGUAGUAGCCUCUGACUCAUUGCAGAUUAGACCGUGACGCCAAUUGGACA